UACGUAGGGUGCAAGCGUUAUCCGGAAUUAUUGGGCGUAAAGAGCUCGUAGGCGGUUUGUCGCGUCUGCUGUGAAAACUGGAGGCUCAACCUCCAGCCUGCAGUGGGUACGGGCAGACUAGAGUGCGGUAGGGGAGACUGGAAUUCCUGGUGUAGCGGUGAAAUGCGCAGAUAUCAGGAGGAACACCGGUGGCGAAGGCGGGGUCUCUGGGCCGUAACUGACGCUGGAGGAGCGAAAGCAUGGGGAGCGAACAGG
rnacentral:rRNA from 1 species